rnacentral:sRNA from 1 species
UGCCCUUCUUGCAGUCCGUUGUACGGGCCU